GGCUGGGUAGCAAAUCGGUUAUGCAGGAGCCUGCAAAGCUUUUUAGACCGGUUCGAUUCCGGUCCCAGCCU
rnacentral:tRNA from 1 species